CGUAGAUCAGAGCCAGGACUUUCAUCUUUGGUGUGGAUCAGAUCUGGAUAGCAAGCAGAUCCCAAACUGCUGGAGUCACAGAGCCCAUUUGGCAUCCCAGCCCUUGCAGCAGGUGUUUCAGGAGCCAGCCUGAUCCAGCCAAUAAGCAGCACAACAGAACGAUAAGCACAGCAGGGGCAGCCUCUUGAGGUCUGUGGCUUUUGGUGGCGCUUCUUUGCUGUGGGGACAGUGACACAGGGACUUUUCCCUGGUGCUUUUGCCCUGUUCCAGACACAAAAAGAAAAAAUGAAGAUGUUUAAGAAAAUACCUGUGUUCAUUCUGUUGUUUACAGGAUAUCUUUGUAAUGCUCAGAAGGAAGAGACAGCAUCAAUAGAACCAACAGUGGGGUUUUCACCUCCUAAGGGACAUGGUGCACAUAUCGAAAAUUCUUCACCAACUCCUGAAAUGGAAACAUAUUGGAGCGAUCCUGUACCAGCAGGAAGAAGUCUGCCAGCUCUAGUAGUGGCAGGAGUCAGCAUUGCCCUUGUGUUGCUUUGUAUUCUUAUCGUUGCUAUUUUUUGGUACGCAUGGAGAAAAUCACAGGAAGGUUCAAUUGAACUCAACCCUAUCCCCUACGGUGAGGCUGGAGUGUCCCCACGAAACGUUCUGGGGCCUGAGAACCAGCAGGAGUGGCCUUUUGAGAGAGCAGUGCAGUGACAGCAGGACAGUGCUGCACCACCCUCUGGGAGCAAAGAAAAGCCCUCCCGAUUGUAGAUAGUUAAACAGCACUCUCAAAAGGGAUGUAGCUGCAAAAAAAGUUACGUUCUUGCAGUUAUAAAUGUCCUUGUUAGGGGAAAGGUCACACUUAGAUUAUUUUCUAAUAAAUUAAACCUUCACAGGAACACCACCACUAUUGAGAUUAAUUGGAAUAGCCACUGUUUGUGCUUGUAUACCUGUGAAUUUCCUAUUGGAAAUGGCUCCUGGAGGGUUUUAGCUUCCAAAAUCUGGCUUGGGCCACAACUAGUUUACCAGUAUAAACAGUGCUAUUCUAGUGCCUGGGAGUUUCCUAGGAAUUGUUUCAUUUGCUAGUCUAGAUAUUGUUAGCAUUUACAGUUUAUUUUAAAUUACACAAUUGAUAACACCCAGCCACUCAUGGUCAGGGAUUGUUCUAAGACUGCAAACCUUUGCUUGCUGAUUGUGCUGCUCAGGGGAAGAAGUAGUGGAAGAGUGACAAUCUCAUCCAAUAAAAUUCAGGUUUCCGGGCUUCACUGAUUAUUAAAUUUAAAACCAAUUUAAUAAUAAUCAAAAGUCACUCUUGCACUGUUUCUUCCCCUGGAGCAGUGGUUGAGCUGAGCUGGGCAGUCUGGGGCCCAGAAGACAAAAACACUGCAGGACCCUGCAGUGACUUGGAACAGACAGGAGGAGCAGAGAGGUAAGGGGAUUGUCUGAGAUGGCUCCAUCAGAAUAUUCCUGCAUGAAUUUUGGCAAGUGACUCUUAUUCCUGACACUGGACUCCUGGUCUGGAGGGCAAGACCAGUAGUAUGUCCUUAGCUUAUAUUUCUCUGUGAAGAUAAAUAUAUUUAACAGCAUGCAGUGUGUGAGCCCCACAGCAAUGAAGCUACCCUGAGAGCUGUAAAUUGGCAGGAAGAUUCUGUUUUUAUGUAAACCUUCUCAAACCAGUAUUACUUUUCCCAGUAAUAGUAAAGAACUCUAUGUCAGCUUUCAAAUUUAUUUCAGCUGACAUUUUCUACAAGUAAAAGCAAUUUCUUAAUGAAACUCAAAAGAGAUUUUCAGAUGACUUCCGUGAAAUAAAAUGUGAAGGAAUGUUUGAAAGCUCACACCUUUUUCCAUCAGCUCCACAGAUAACAUAUCAUUUUAAUUUUUCAUUUUCAUAGAUAUCUUUCAUUUCUGUUAAUUUGCUCUGAAUUUAAGAAUGAGGUAAUUAUAUGAAUUUCAUGUGUAACAGUAUUACUUAGGGUGGAAGAGUUUGGCUAAAUCUGCUUCCUAUAUGGUGGUUUUUUUUAAAUGUGCAUCUCCUGAUUUUCUUUCAUUUAAUAGAAAUUUUGUAAGUGCUUAAAUGCUUUUUUAGAUAUUAGAUCAAGAGUGCCCUGGGCAACAGACAGCAUUAGUUGAAUGCAAAAGAAUUAAGAAUAACAAAUAUUUGUGAGGAAUAAUUCAUAUAAACUAUGUUUAAAGUGCUUUUUAAUUGAUGUUUGCAAGCUUCUUUGUGAAUAACUUUGCUUUUUAAAGUGCUUUCAGAGUGGUUGUAUUUUAUUUCUGAGCUUUUACAGGACUUGUGUGCUAGAAAUAAUAUUUAAUAUUUGCUCUUUGGUGUUCAUGUCGGUUAUUGCACUGUUGAAGACGUUUGUGAUUGCUGAAAAAGUUUUC
rnacentral:lncRNA from 12 species